rnacentral:sRNA from 1 species
CAUGCUUCCCCCACACCCCCGCGCCGUGGAGCCUGCUUCCCUCGCAGCAGCCGCUAAGACCCGGAGGAGUGGAAUUCCACUUUGAAACUCUGCGUGCGGCGCGAGGGCCAGCACCGGGCAUGCUCAGUC